AUGAACGCUGGCGGCGUGCCUAAUACAUGCAAGUCGAGCGAACAGACGAGGAGCUUGCUCCUCUGACGUUAGCGGCGGACGGGUGAGUAACACGCGGAUAACCUACCUAUAAGACUGGGAUAACUUCGGGAAACCGGAGCUAAUACCGGAUAAUAUAUUGAACCGCAUGGUUCAAUAGUGAAAGACGGUUUUGCUGUCACUUAUAGAUGGAUCCGCGCCGCAUUAGCUAGUUGGUAAGGUAACGGCUUACCAAGGCGACGAUGCGUAGCCGACCUGAGAGGGUGAUCGGCCACACUGGAACUGAGACACGGUCCAGACUCCUACGGGAGGCAGCAGUAGGGAAUCUUCCGCAAUGGGCGAAAGCCUGACGGAGCAACGCCGCGUGAGUGAUGAAGGUCUUCGGAUCGUAAAACUCUGUUAUUAGGGAAGAACAAAUGUGUAAGUAACUAUGCACGUCUUGACGGUACCUAAUCAGAAAGCCACGGCUAACUACGUG
rnacentral:rRNA from 1 species